UACGGAAGGCAGCAGGGGGGAAUAUUGCACAAUGGGCGCAAGCCUGAUGCAGCCAUGCCGCGUGUAUGAAGAAGGCCUUCGGGUUGUAAAGUACUUUCAGUCGUGAGGAAGGUGUUAAGGUUAAUAACCUUAGCAAUUGACGUUAGCGACAGAAGAAGCACCGGCUAACUCCGUGCCAGCAGCCGCGGUAAUACGGAGGGUGCGAGCGUUAAUCGGAAUUACUGGGCGUAAAGGGCACGCAGGCGGUUAAUUAAGUUGGAUGUGAAAUCCCCGGGCUUAACCUGGGAAUGGCAUUCAAGACUGGUUAGCUAGAGUCUUGUAGAGGGGGUUAGAAUUCCAUGUGUAGCGGUGAAAUGCGUAGAGAUGUGGAGGAAUACCGGUGGCGAAGGCGGCCCCUGGACAAAGACUGACGCUCAUGUGCGAAAGCUGGGGAGCAAACAGGGAUUAGAUACC
rnacentral:rRNA from 1 species